GGCAGGUUUAGAUCGGAAGAAAAAACGCGAGAAAAUGUUCAGAUUCUUGAGGAGUUAUCGAGCCGGAUACCGUGCCGGUAUCCGUGCUGCCGAGCGCUAGCAGGGGGAGGGUGGAGAAUCGGGCAACCUUGCAUCUAAACCUGUUUGUGACGGAAGGCAGACAAUGCUCCACUUGUUGUUGAAGGGGGGAUUUCUCUACUGGGGAGUGUUUUUAUUUCAGAGCACAACUGAGAGUAUGAAGAGGUAUGAGAAAUCGCUUUCAUCUCAGGAGUAAAUUGAGAACGAGGACGUCGCUGGUUGUGCCGAGAUUUUUCGUAUGGCAGAGAAGGAGAUGGAGUACAAGGAUGAGUUGUUCAACAAGUAACUUUCUACAUUGUAUUUUGAUGUCACAAACGAGUAAUGGGGUUUUUGCAAUGUAGUAUUUGAAUCCAAUUUCUUUUCUAUUAUGAGUGUAAUCUAUUGGAGGAUUUUUUGUUUUUCUGCGUUAUUUAUUUCUUCUUUCAUUAUGGGGUUUCCUUUUUAUGUUGAUUGGUGUUGGGUUGUGUACCAAAUCUUUCCAUUA